rnacentral:rRNA from 1 species
UACAGAGGUGGCAAGCGUUGUUCGGAUUUACUGGGCGUAAAGGGUUCGUAGGCGGUUCGGAAAGUCAAAUGUGAAAUCCCACAGCUCAACUGUGGAACUGCAUUUGAAACUCCCGGACUAGAGUAUGAGAGGGGUAAAAGGAAUUCCCGGUGUAAGGGUGAAAUCUGCAGAGAUCGGGAGGAACACCAGUCGCGAAGGCGUUUUACUGGCUCAUUACUGACGCUCAGGAACGAAAGCUAGGGUAGCAAAC